UACGUAGGGUGCAAGCGUUGUCCGGAAUUAUUGGGCGUAAAGAGCUCGUAGGCGGUUUGUCGCGUCGAAUGUGAAAACCCGGGGCUCAACCCCGGGCCUGCAUUCGAUACGGGCAGACUAGAGUUCGGUAGGGGAGUCUGGAAUUCCUGGUGUAGCGGUGAAAUGCGCAGAUAUCAGGAGGAACACCGGUGGCGAAGGCGGGACUCUGGGCCGAUAUUGACGCUGAGGAGCGAAAGCGUGGGGGAGCGAACAGG
rnacentral:rRNA from 1 species